GUCUCCAUUGGCCAGCUUUACCCGCCCUGCGCCGACAUCACUAGGGGUACGCCCGGAGUUAUCACUCGUCCGGCUCUUACUGGGGCUAGAGAGUUGGGCGGGGUGCACGAGUCUUCACACACUUGACCUACUGAGCUCGAGAGCACAACUGUGGAGGUUUUUGUUCUUUGGAAAGAAAAGCCCUUGAACUUGGUCCUCAUUUUAUCGGGUCUAGGACUCCCUAGCAGAAAACGUGGCCUGAGCUGGAGGAGCAACUUUAGUGCCUGAGGUUGCUGCUGGGGAUUCUGGCCCCUGCUGCAUUUGAGGUCUCAGCAAGCAGCUGCCGGAACCAGAGUAAAUCAGCAGGCUCAAUUUUGAAUUUACAAACAGUUUAUUCAGGUCACCGGGUUUUGUUUUGUUUUUGGUUUUUUUUUUGGGGGGGGCGGUUUUUUUUUUUUUUUUUUGGUGUCUUGGUUCCCACUGGUACAUAAGUCGCACAAAAGCUGUGCAUGUACUAAGCCCAUGUGUGCAUGUGUUAAGCCCACAUAUACACACAAAUGAUUGCUUUCCUAGUUCGUGUUCACAUUGGGCACAUAAAAAAAAAUCUCAAUAGAUUCUUUGAUUUAGGGAAGCUGAGUGUGUGCUUAGACUCAUUUGCCAGUGCUUUCACGCCUCAGACCCCCUGAGAAUUUAUUGUGCUGUGGUGCAAGACGCUAAAGAACCUGCGGUUAUGAAGAGUCUGACCACAUUCAAAACAGUUUAUUAAUCUGUUUUGCGGCCUAGAGCUCUAACGUGAUUCAGAUGGUAGGUAGUAGUGCUAGAGUUAGUUACUUUUGAGUUCCACUCUGACUCCAGUAAAUUUGAGGACGGUGAACAAAUGACCCACCAAGAUUUCUCAGACUUGAUCAAAGGAAAGUUAAGGAUGGAGAAACAUGGCUCAGCGGUUACAAACAUAAGCUGCUCUUGCACAGGACUGGAGAUCUCUUCCCAGCAAGUGGAUCAGAAAGCUCACAACCAAGUCGAACUCCAGAAACCUACCUGCAUUUUGGCUUGGUGCUGGUUUGAGAGAGAGAGAGAGAGAGAGAGACUCUUGCUGGAUUCCACGUAGUUUUGCAGCUGAGGACAACCUUGAUCUCCCCAUGCCCCGGCCUCUACUAUUGGGAUUGCAGUAUGUACCCCCAUUCCUGGCCCAGAACCUGGCAAACUGGACUCAAUUCUGAACUCACGUUAAAGGAAGGAAGAGAGAAGAAACUCCACAAACUUCCCAACCAACACACAUACACACACACAUACCACACAUACAUUUUCUGUUUUAUUGGCUAUUCUCUGAAUGUACCUCCCACCCCCCCCCCGCUCUCUCUGUCCUUUUUUGGGGGGUGUGGGCAUGAAGCCGUGCUUUUGCUUAC
rnacentral:lncRNA from 1 species